ACGAACGCUGGCGGCGUGCUUAACACCUGCAAGUCGAACGGAAAGGCCCUGCUUGCAGGGUACUCGAGUGGCGAACGGGUGAGUAACACGUGGGUGAUCUGCCCUGCACUUCGGGAUAAGCCUGGGAAACUGGGUCUAAUACCGGAUAGGAGCCAUUUUUAGUGUGAUGGUUGGAAAGUUUUUUCGGUGUAGGAUGAGCUCGCGGCCUAUCAGCUUGUUGGUGGGGUAAUGGCCUACCAAGGCGGCGACGGGUAGCCGGCCUGAGAGGGUGGACGGCCACAUUGGGACUGAGAUACGGCCCAGACUCCUACGGGAGGCAGCAGUGGGGAAUAUUGCACAAUGGGCGCAAGCCUGAUGCAGCGACGCCGCGUGGGGGAUGACGGCCUUCGGGUUGUAAACUCCUUUCGCUAGGGACGAAGCUUUUUGUGACGGUACCUAGAGAAGAAGCACCGGCUAACUACGUG
rnacentral:rRNA from 1 species